rnacentral:rRNA from 1 species
GGCAAACGGGUGAGUAACACGUGGGAAUAUACCUUUUGGUUCGGGACAACAGUUGGAAACGACUGCUAAUACCGGAUGUGCUCUACGGAGGAAAGAUUUAUCGCCAAAAGAUUAGCCCGCGCUAGAUUAGCUUGUUGGUGAGGUAAUGGCUCACCAAGGCGACGAUCUAUAGCUGGUCUGAGAGGAUGAUCAGCCACACUGGGACUGAGAUACGGCCCAGACUCC